rnacentral:lncRNA from 1 species
CUAAUGGCUCAAUGAAAAUGGUUUUAAUUGGAUUGAUAAGCACGUAAUUAAAUUGACACAACCUCCCCGAGUUUUAUAUUCAACAAUGAUGGCUCGUUGUUGCAAUAACCUAAUAAGUCCAUAGUCAUCCAAGAGCCUAAGAUAACUAUAAAGUCCAAUUUCAAAGGAAUGCAAAAACCAUAGUAGUAGUAGUUACUUCCAAUAUUUGAAAAAUUUGUUUUUGAUAUUGAUUUGUUUUUCUUAAAACAAAUAGUGGGAGUAUCAUACGCUAC